rnacentral:misc_RNA from 1 species
UAAAUGAACUGUUGUAAUAGCUAGAUAAAUAACUGACAUUAGCAGGGUUUAUCUUUGAUGAUACUUGAUCUGUGACAACUGAAAAUAGGAAGUCCAGCAACCCAUCAUCUGGAACAUGAGGACUUUUGGAGUUGGCAUCAGAGGAGGCGGAGAUAGAUCUUUAAGAGACUACCAGGAGUUGAGAUUAAAUAGAAAAACAAAAUCAAAUAAGAAUAGAUG